rnacentral:rRNA from 1 species
UACGUAGGGGGCAAGCGUUGUCCGGAAUCAUUGGGCGUAAAGCGCGUGUAGGCGGCCCGAUAAGUCCGCUGUGAAAGUCCAGGGCUCAACCCUGGGAUGCCGGUGGAUACUGUCGGGCUCGAGUCCGGAAGAGGAGUGUGGAAUUCCUGGUGUAGCGGUGAAAUGCGCAGAUAUCAGGAGGAACACCAAUGGCGAAGGCAGCACUCUGGGACGUGACUGACGCUGAGACGCGAAAGCGUGGGGGGGCAAACAGG